rnacentral:rRNA from 1 species
AAAUUGAAGAGUUUGAUCAUGGCUCAGAUUGAACGCUGGCGGCAGGCCUAACACAUGCAAGUCGAACGGUAACAGGAAGCAGCUUGCUGCUUCGCUGACGAGUGGCGGACGGGUGAGUAAUGUCUGGGAAACUGCCUGAUGGAGGGGGAUAACUACUGGAAACGGUGGCUAAUACCGCAUAACGUCGCAAGACCAAAGAGGGGGACCUUCGGGCCUCUUGCCAUCAGAUGUGCCCAGAUGGGAUUAGCUAGUUGGUGAGGUAAUGGCUCACCAAGGCGACGAUCCCUAGCUGGUCUGAGAGGAUGACCAGCCACACUGGAACUGAGACACGGUCCAGACUCCUACGGGAGGCAGCAGUGGGGAAUAUUGCACAAUGGGCGCAAGCCUGAUGCAGCCAUGCCGCGUGUAUGAAGAAGGCCUUCGGGUUGUAAAGUACUUUCAGCGGGGAGGAAGGUGUUGUGGUUAAUAACCGCAGCAAUUGACGUUACCCGCAGAAGAAGCACCGGCUAACUCCGUGCCAGCAGCCGCGGUAAUACGGAGGGUGCAAGCGUUAAUCGGAAUUACUGGGCGUAAAGCGCACGCAGGCGGUCUGUCAAGUCGGAUGUGAAAUCCC